rnacentral:ncRNA from 1 species
CUUGCAAGGGGAAAACUAAAGGGAAAUUGACGGAGGGACCUUCCCGGGGGGGAUUGGGCGGUUAAUUAACUUAAAGGGGGGAAAAUUACCAGGGUCAAUUCAUUCGUGAUGGAAUACGUGAGAAUGGCAGGAGUGGUGCAUGCCCGUUGGAAAUUGAUGGGGCGACCUUUAGCUUAAAUGCUUAAACCAGUGAGACUUCCUUGACAGGUGUUCUGUAACACAGGAGGGUGGAGGCUAUAACAGGUCCGUGAUGCCCUUAGAUAUCCUGGGCAGCAAGCGCAAUACAAUAUCUCUUCAGUAGACAAAGUGAUUUGAGAUGAGUAGGAUCUACGUUUGUAAAUACGUAGUGAAUAAGGAAUUCCUAGUAACGGUGCCUCAUCAAGGCAUGGUGAAUGUGUCCCUGUUCUUUGUACACACCGCCCGUCACUAUUUCAGAUGGUCAUAGGGAUGAAGAGCUUCGGCUCUGAAUAUCUAUGGCUAGAUAAAGUACAAGUCGUAACAAGGUUUCAGUUGGAGAACCAGCUGAAGGAUCAUUU